rnacentral:tRNA from 1 species
CAUCCUCGAUCCCAACUUUUAUGUGAGCGUUACCCAGUUCACGUACGGCGAGGAUUUCAACUUUCAGGUUCCUUCCC